rnacentral:rRNA from 1 species
GACGAACGCUGGCGGCGUGCUUAACACAUGCAAGUCGAACGGAAAGGCCCUGCUUUUGUGGGGUGCUCGAGUGGCGAACGGGUGAGUAACACGUGAGUAACCUGCCCUUGACUUUGGGAUAACUUCAGGAAACUGGGGCUAAUACCGGAUAGGAGCUCCUGCUGCAUGGUGGGGGUUGGAAAGUUUCGGCGGUUGGGGACGGACUCGCGGCUUAUCAGCUUGUUGGUGGGGUAGUGGCUUACCAAGGCUUUGACGGGUAGCCGGCCUGAGAGGGUGACCGGCCACAUUGGGACUGAGAUACGGCCCAGACUCCUACGGGAGGCAGCAGUGGGGAAUAUUGCACAAUGGGCGGAAGCCUGAUGCAGCAACGCCGCGUGCGGGAUGACGGCCUUCGGGUUGUAAACCGCUUUCGCCUGUGACGAAGCGUGAGUGACGGUAAUGGGUAAAGAAGCACCGGCUAACUACGCG